ensembl:ncRNA H34C03.21 ncRNA
AUGAUAUGGUCAUAUCAUAUAUCAUAUAGGAAGUCAUAUCAAGUCGCUUAGAAGAAAAUUUUUAUC